CCUACGGGAGGCAGCAGUGAGGAAUAUUGGUCAAUGGGAGAGAUCCUGAACCAGCCAAGCCGCGUGAGGGAAGACGGCCCUAUGGGUGGUAAACCUCUUUUGUCGGAGAACAAAACCCGGGACGUGUCCCGGACUGCGUGUAUGCGAAGAAAAAGCAUCGGCUAACUCAGUGCCAGCAGCCGCGGUAAUACGGAGGAUGCGCGCGUUAUCCGGAUUUAUUGUGUUAAAAGGGUGCGUAGGCGGUCCGUUAAGUCAGCGGGAAAAUUGAGGGGCUCAACCCCUUCGAGCCGUUGAAACUGGCAGACUUGAGUUGGCGAGAAGUACGCGGAAUGCGCGGUGUAGCGGUGAAAUGCAUAGAUAUCGCGCAGAACUCCGAUUGCGAAGGCAGCGUACCGGCGCCAGACUGACGCUGAGGCACGAAAGCGUGGGGAUCGAACAGGAUUAGAUACCCUUGUAGUC
rnacentral:rRNA from 1 species